rnacentral:rRNA from 1 species
AGAGUUUGAUCAUGGCUCAGAUUGAACGCUGGCGGCAGGCUUAACACAUGCAAGUCGAACGGUAACAGGAAGGAAGCUUGCUUUCUUUGCUGACGAGUGGCGGACGGGUGAGUAAUGCUUGGGAAUCUGGCUUAUGGAGGGGGAUAACUACGGGAAACUGUAGCUAAUACCGCGUAAUAUCUUCGGAUUAAAGGGUGGGACUUUCGGGCCACCUGCCAUAAGAUGAGCCCAAGUGGGAUUAGGUAGUUGGUGGGGUAAAGGCCUACCAAGCCGACGAUCUCUAGCUGGUCUGAGAGGAUGACCAGCCACACUGGAACUGAGACACGGUCCAGACUCCUACGGGAGGCAGCAGUGGGGAAUAUUGCACAAUGGGGGGAACCCUGAUGCAGCCAUGCCGCGUGAAUGAAGAAGGCCUUCGGGUUGUAAAGUUCUUUCGGUGAUGAGGAAGGUGUUUGUUUUAAUAGAACAAGCAAUUGACGUUAGUCACAGAAGAAGCACCGGCUAACUCCGUGCCAGCAGCCGCGGUAAUACGGAGGGUGCGAGCGUUAAUCGGAAUGACUGGGCGUAAAGGGCACGCAGGCGGUGACUUAAGUGAGAUGUGAAAGCCCCGAGCUUAACUUGGGAAUUGCAUUUCAUACUGGGUCGCUAGAGUAUUUUAGGGAGGGGUAGAAUUCCACGUGUAGCGGUGAAAUGCGUAGAGAUGUGGAGGAAUACCGAAGGCGAAGGCAGCCCCUUGGGAAUAUACUGACGCUCAUGUGCGAAAGCGUGGGGAGCAAACAGGAUUAGAUACCCUGGUAGUCCACGCUGUAAACGCUGUCGAUUUGGGGAUUGGGCUUAGAGCUUGGUGCCCGUAGCU